rnacentral:rRNA from 1 species
GAAAGCAGGGGAUCGUAAGACCUUGCGCUUUUGGAGUGGCCGAUGCCUGAUUAGCUAGUUGGUGGGGUAAGAGCCUACCAAGGCGACGAUCAGUAGUUGGUCUGAGAGGACGACCAGCCACACUGGGACUGAGACACGGCCCAGACUCCUACGGGAGGCAGCAGUGGGGAAUUUUGGACAAUGGGCGAAAGCCUGAUCCAGCAAUGCCGCGUGAGUGAAGAAGGCCUUCGGGUUGUAAAGCUCUUUCAGUCGAGAAGAAAAGGUUGCGACUAAUAAUCCCAACUUAUGACGGUAUCGACAGAAGAAGCACCGGCUAACUACGUGCCAGCAGCCGCGGUAAUACGUAGGGUGCGAGCGUUAAUCGGAAUUACUGGGCGUAAAGGGUGCGCACGCGGCUCUGUAAGUCAG